CUCUCCUAGGUGCAUUUAAGGGCUGACUGUCACCGAGGAAGGAUCUCUGGAGAUUGCACUUCUUGGACCUUUUUCUGUGAGCCCAGAACACAGGUUGUACUUAGUGUCAGUAACUUAAGCUUUAUUAACACUGAAUCCCAAGUGCAGCGGAAGUCAAGGCUGUGAGGUUAGGAUAACUGGCUAACCAUUAUCUCUGAGGAUCAGCAAGACACUACUGGGUUUCCUGCGUGGAAACUCUACAGAAAAACUAACAUGGAUUUGGGCCUGAUGAAAGAAGAAAAAGACCAGAUUACUAGAACAGUACUAAAGAGAAAUGGAAUAGUAGUAAAUAAUUUCCAGAGUGCAUUAUUUGAAAAUUGCUGGCCCAGAAUUGGAUAAA